GCAGUGGUGGUUCAGUGGUAGAAUGCCCGCCUUCCAUGUGGGAGACCCGGGUUCGAUUCCCAGCCAAUGCA
rnacentral:tRNA from 1 species